rnacentral:misc_RNA from 1 species
GAUCAUUACCGAGUGUGGGCUGCCUCCGGGCGCCCAACCUCCCACCCGUGACUACCUAACACUGUUGCUUCGGCGGGGAGCUCCCCAGGGGCGAGCCGCCGGGGACCACUGAACUUCAUGCCUGAGAGUGAUGCAGUCUGAGUCUGAAUACAAAUCAGUCAAAACUUUCAACAAUGGAUCUCUUGGUUCCGGCAUCGAUGAAGAACGCAGCGAACUGCGAUAAGUAAUGUGAAUUGCAGAAUUCAGUGAAUCAUCGAGUCUUUGAACGCACAUUGCGCCCCCUGGCAUUCCGGGGGGCAUGCCUGUCCGAGCGUCAUUGCUGCCCUUCAAGCCCGGCUUGUGUGUUGGGUCGUCGUCCCCCCCGGGGGACGGGCCCGAAAGGCAGCGGCGGCACCGUGUCCGGUCCUCGAGCGUAUGGGGCUUUGUCACCCGCUCGAUUAGGGCCGGCCGGGCGCCAGCCGGCGUCUCCAACCUUAUUUUUCUCAGGUUGACCUCGGAUCAGGUAGGGAUACCCGCUGAACUUAAGCAUAUC